rnacentral:rRNA from 1 species
UACGAGGGGCCUAGCGUUGUUCGGAAUUAUUGGGCGUAAAGAGUAUGUAGGUGGCCAGAUAAGUCAGGUGUGAAAUCCCCGGGCUACAACCCGGGAAGUGCAUUUGAUACGGGCUAGCUAGAGUGUGGUAGGGGAGAUCGGAAUUCCUGGUGUAGCGGUGAAAUCGAUCGAGUACAGCUACGUACGUCGAGCAUCGAUCGAUGUACA